rnacentral:snRNA from 1 species
UUGUUUCGGCAGCACACAGACUAAAAUUGGAACAAUACAGAGAUUAGCAUGGCUCUGCACAAGGAUGACACACAAAUUCAUGAAGCAUUCCAUAUUUUA